AUGUCGCAACAAGGAUGAGCAAAUUUGGCCCAAAAUCUUCCACGUUCCAUACAUCAAUUUAAAUGCAGAGGAUUUAAGGGAUAUGCAUGAAGAUUUAGAUUCAGUGAACUCCGCGGAGGAUGAAGAGAUAUGUAUCGAGCACGAGUUUGAAUCUUACGAGGAUUUAGAAAUUUUGGAAGAU